UUCAAACAGCUAAGGACAUGCAUCUGGCCCUUACCGGCUCAUGCACUGUCCCACAUCCUUUUUGCCUUAUCAACUUAUGAUACCAAGUCCAGCUCAUGGACUAACAAUGCCCAUCAGAUCCUGAGUCAAUCAACCAACCACCCCACAUGACUCAGAACUGAUGAGUCUUCAUACUUCCUAAUAAGUCAUGGAACCAUGUCCCACUGAACCUGAUUAGUGUUACUCUUACCACCGGUGCAUCCUUUGAUCAAUCAGAUCAGACACCUUGAUCCAUCAUCCAAGGAUCAGGUCGUCCAUCCUUGCCCAUGAUCA
rnacentral:lncRNA from 1 species